rnacentral:rRNA from 1 species
CAUGCAGUCGAACGGCAGCACGGACUUCGGUCUGGUGGCGAGUGGCGAACGGGUGAGUAAUACAUCGGAACGUGCCUAGUAGUGGGGGAUAACUACUCGAAAGAGUGGCUAAUACCGCAUGAGAUCUAUGGAUGAAAGCAGGGGACCUUAGGGCCUUGUGCUACUGGAGCGGCCGAUGGCAGAUUAGGUAGUUGGUGGGAUAAAAGCUUACCAAGCCAACGAUCUGUAGCUGGUCUGAGAGGACGAUCAGCCACACUGGGACUGAGACACGGCCCAGACUCCUACGGGAGGCAGCAGUGGGGAAUUUUGGACAAUGGGCGCAAGCCUGAUCCAGCAAUGCCGCGUGCAGGAUGAAGGCCUUCGGGUUGUAAACUGCUUUUGUACGGAACGAAAAGGCGCUCUCUAAUACAGGGCGCUCAUGACGGUACCGUAAGAAUAAGCACCGGCUAACUACGUGCCAGCAGCCGCGGUAAUACGUAGGGUGCAAGCGUUAAUCGGAAUUACUGGGCGUAAAGCGUGCGCAGGCGGUUUUGUAAGACAGUGGUGAAAUCCCCGGGCUCAACCUGGGAACUGCCAUUGUGACUGCAAGGCUGGAGUGCGGCAGAGGGGGAUGGAAUUCCGCGUGUAGCAGUGAAAUGCGUAGAUAUGCGGAGGAACACCGAUGGCGAAGGCAAUCCCCUGGGCCUGCACUGACGCUCAUGCACGAAAGCGUGGGGAGCAAACAGGAUUAGAUACCCUGGUAGUCCACGCCCUAAACGAUGUCAACUGGUUGUUGGGGAUUUAUUUAUUCUUUAAAUAAAACGCACGCGUGAAGUUGACCGCCUGGGGAGUACGGCCGCAAGGUUAAGACUCAAAGGGAAUUGACGGGGACCCGCACAAGCGGUGGAUGAUGUUCUUUAAUUCGAUGCAACGCGAAAAACCUUACCCACCUUUGACAUGUACGGUAGACUGCAGAGAUGCGGUUGUGCUCGAAAGAUAGCCGUAACACAGGUGCUGCAUGGCUGUCGUCAGUUCCUGUCUCGAAAGUUCCGCCAACCACCCAACCCUUUCCCUUAAUUUGUACCAAAGGGGCUCCUAAGGGGGAUGCCGGGGAAAAAACCGGAGAAAGGGGGGAUAAUGUCUGUCCUCCCGGCCCUUUCUGGGGGGGUAAAAGUCAAAUUGGCCGUAAAAAGUCCCGUAAACGGGUUGGGUUUACUUCCCCAAAUA